CCUACGGGCGGCUGCAGUGGGGAAUAUUGGACAAUGGGGGGAACCCUGAUCCAGCCAUGCCGCGUGUGUGAAGAAGGCCCUCGGGUUGUAAAGCACUUUCAGUGAGGAAGAACGCCUGGUGGUUAAUACCCAUCAGGAAAGACAUCACUCACAGAAGAAGCACCGGCUAACUCCGUGCCAGCAGCCGCGGUAAUACGGAGGGUGCGAGCGUUAAUCAGAAUUACUGGGCGUAAAGCGCGCGUAGGUGGCUUGAUAAGCCGGUUGUGAAAGCCCCGGGCUCAACCUGGGAACGGCAUCCGGAACUGUCAAGCUAGAGUGCAGGAGAGGAAGGUAGAAUUCCCGGUGUAGCGGUGAAAUGCGUAGAGAUCGGGAGGAAUACCAGUGGCGAAGGCGGCCUUCUGGACUGACACUGACACUGAGGUGCGAAAGCGUGGGUAGCAAACAGGAUUAGAUACCCUAGUAGUC
rnacentral:rRNA from 1 species